CGAGCAUUAAAGGCGACUGGGAAAGGCUCCCGGGAGACGGUGAAAUUUUAACAUGAAGGAAGUCAGAACAGCUGGAAGACACAGGAUGGCUCUGUCCACCUGCCCCUCCCCAUACACGAGGUCCUGCCUAGUGGCUAAAUACUGAAGAGGGAAUCCUCCAGUCUUAAGAGGUCUGAAGUGCUAUACCUAGAUCAUCUCAUUUGACGUGCACGUCAAAUAUCCAUCCUCUUCUGUCCACGAUUUGGAAGGAGAUAUGAGGCACGCCUGCCCCAAGGGCCUUCCUUCCCCGAAGUCCAGCUCAGGGUACCUGGAUGAGAUGUUGGUGGUGCUGUGAACUGGCCUGGCUGUUUUGGACAGCAACAUGGAGCAGUGCCCCAAAUGUCAUUAAACUGUGCAUGUCCUUUGA